rnacentral:lncRNA from 1 species
AGGGCUGGAAGUGGGUGGAUGGAAGAAAAUGCUGCCCUUCCUGCUAUCUCUAAGGAACGGAGAUAAUCCGAUGGGGAAGAACCUGGCGGGUCGAGUUUUAAACUUUUCUUGUUGUAGUUACUGAGAUUCCAGAUCAGAAACGAAACUAACCCACGCGAACCCCCUUUUUAAGGAGAAACAAUUGCCUCGGUGUCACAGGCACACGGGCAUGUACAAGCCCGGCGGCGCGUGGUGUAGAAAAUGGCUAGCUUUAAGCCAUGCAAAUAAAGGAAAACGUCAGCUCACCCUUCUGCCCUUUUAUCCUGGGACUGCUGGGUGUUCCCUUAGACGGGGAAUGUAGAACUUCAAAAGCACUUCAGAAAGAUUUGGAAGAGACUCCUGAAAACGGUGACCGAGCUUUGAAUUGUUAAGUGGUGGUGUUGUCAGCCAUGUGGCUGCUGUUGCUUUUAGCGAUGAAAAUCACACCACACAAGCUUCUCGGAUAUCAUGCGGUAUAAUCCCCUUGGCUGACAGAAGAAAAAGAUUCUCAGAAAAUGGUUCUUUCAAGGCAGAUGCUGCUUACAGGCAGACCUGAAUGGUGAAAAGCAGCUUUAUUUGUAUGAGAUAUAGGUAGCAUAUAACCCACCAUCUUCUAAAAAUAUAGUGAAUUAAUAACUUUCUCUUUUUUUUCUUCUUUUUUUAAACAGGUCACUCUGCCACCCAGGCUGGAGUGCAGUGGCAUGAUCUGGCUCACUGCAACCUCCUUCUCCUGGGUUCAAGUGAUUCUACUGCCUCAGCCUCCGAGUAGCUGAGACUACAGGCGCCCACCACCACACCCGGCUGAUUUUUGUAUUUUCAGUAGAGACGGGGUUUCCGCCAUAUUGGCCAGACUGGUCUCGAAAUCCUGACCUCAGGUGAUCCACCCUCUUCGGCCUCCCAAACUGCUGGGAUUACAGGCGUGAGCCACCACACCAGGCCUCAUUGUUUUUUGAUUGAUGACAUGCCAUACAUUUACCGAUCUGCCAAAAAUUGUAGAGGGAUGCACAGAAUCCAGCAUUGUGUCUUGUUUAAUCUUCUCAAUCAUCCUGUAAAUUGAGUGUUACUAGCCCUAUUUUAACGUAAGGAAUCAAAGGCUCAGCAAAGUUAUGUAAGUAAAUUUCUCCAAAUCAGCUAGAACUUGGAUUGAAACCGAGGUCUAUUUGACUCCAAAGCCAUUGAUUUUCUUUCUAUAUCUCAAGUAUUGAGUGUCCAUAAUUUAUACUUUUUCAAACAAUAGAAUGCUACAAGAAAUCCACAGGCUUGGGCCACUGCUCUCACAGACCUACUUUAUAUAAUUACCAUCUUGUUGCUUGUCAGACCUGCAGUAUUCCAAACUCCUGACUUGAAUUUCUGACUCCAGUUUCCCCCAGUUCUAAUUAUUUCUCUGUACCACUCACUACCGAUGAGUUUUCUAAAAUGUUUGGUUUUGUCAUCAACAUCUUCCCCUCUAAAUCAGGUCCCCCUUUCCCUGCAAUUCUUAUCUAGCCAUUUAAAACUCUCUCUUAUCCUGCUUCUUACCUUUCCCAGCUUAUCUCCCACUUCGCUCCCAGGAAACCCUCUCUGUAGUCAAACAGGUCUACUCACAGAUCCCUGCUUCGUUCUCACCUUUCAGCCUAACCGAAAUCCCCACUCCUCUGUGGGUUAAGUCCCACCCUUCUCUCAAAGCCUAAUUAAAUUAAAGUCCUUGUCCUCUGCCAAGACUUAGCUGUGUGUUACAGUGGACAGAGAAAAGGACUCAAGGUUCUUGGCCUGGCUCUGCCACUUAGCUAUUGGGUAACUUUGGGCAAGUCACUAAAACAUCCAUCCCGAAUCUCAGUUACCUCCUCUUUAAAAUAGGGCUGACAAUACCUAUGUUAAAGGUUGUUAUAAGGAUUGAGAUUGUACAGAUGUGUAAACAUGUGGUUAUACAUGUCCAGUUAAAUGCCUUUCCUGCCUUCCCAAACUCUGAAGAGCAAGCAUCUUGCUUAUAGGACCUCUUUAUAUUCCUUAUACCCAAUUCAAGGAAAAGGCUCAAUAAAAAUAUAGGGCAUGAGAAAAUAGAUCAUUGUAUCAUUUCUAUUCUCUUCCAUUCUUUAAAUGCAGUCUAUCCCCAAAUAAUCUCUCAGACAAAAACUUUAACUGUUUCUUCUUGUUCUUUUUUUCCUCUCUCUUUCUCUCUUUUUAUGCCAGAAGGGCCAGAGCCCUUCUGUUCUCCCACACCCCUACCCACCGUUCGUUCAACACCCUUAACUUCCUCAGAUCACUUCUGGACCAACUACUUCACCUGUCUCUUAAUUAACUACUGACCCUUCCCUGUCCCACAGUCAGGGACACAACUUGUCCAUCAGUGUCUGUUGCCUGCCUUGCUCCCAGAUGCCUUCAAACGGAGGCUGGGUGGCUACCAGCCAUUCCUCCAGCCCUAGUCAGGACGGCUGCAGCCAGGCUCACAUUUUUCCAAAACUACAGCCAGCCACAGGAGAUGGGGGAGGGAAUGUCCCACCCCCACAGAGAUGGCAGGAUAGAAAAACAGGAAGUCGCCUC